AUUUAUGUCAAGCAGAUCUCUUACCACACCUUGUGGAUAGCAACAGGUGAGAGAGGGCAGAGUCUUUGGUCCUGGAGAGGAUGGCUGCAUUGUAAGUCAGUUAAGGAAAGAGUUUCUGCCGAUGCAUGUUCCCUGUGAGCAUGAGUACCUGAGGAAAACGAGCAGAUCAGAUUAAAGCUGGCAGCUAUAGGAAAGGAGCUCAUGCAUGAAGUGAUAAGCCAUCCCCUUUCCCACCACAAAAAAACACAGUAAGUGAGUUGAGAAAAGUAAAUUUAGACAACUAAAUCACUACGUAACCCUUCCCCAAAGCGUAUGGCUUGGCUCAAGUCACAGUGAGACUAUUGCUCCUAGGAAAGCACGGUUACAACCAAUGGCCAGGCUGUUCAGAAAGCAUGGAAACGACGGUGCUACAGACACACACUUUUCAAAAUUAAGGGGCAAGCACUGAUUAAAAGAUCUCUACAGAAAGGUAGUAAUUAAACGAGCAAAUUAAUCAUUCAGAAAAGUCGACAUUUAAAUGCAAAGGUUUUUAUCUUUUUAUGUGCUUUUUUUCAGUUUAUUCAAAUAUCAGUGCCUUGGUGGUUUGGAGAAUUUUUAAAUGACCCACACAGUCUGUAAAUGUCAGAUUAGUACGUUUAUGCCACAGGUGAUUGUUGUGAUUCAAGCUGAAAUACAUCUCUCCGGAAACUCCAGAAACCCUCCAGCUCUAACUCUCUUAUUGUUACUAGCCUAUUACCCAAAAUAGUUUUACCACUAUUCUGGGAGCACAAAGAAAUAGAAAACAAUAUGCAUGUUUUAUUUGAUAAGUAAGUUGUCAUAAACUAUAGAACAACUGUGAGCACCAUGAUAAAUCAGUAGAUAAUGGGUUUCUGUAUUUAUUAACAUGAUAAAAUAGACUAACAUAUUUGGCUCUAAAUGGCCACCUAAUUUCGUGAAACUGAAUACAACUGCCCUGUACAUAAUAUCACAACUGAACAGUGAUAAACAUGCCUAAUUCACAAAUUCUCUGUGAAUGUUGGGGAUGACAGAACCCCAAAUGCUUCAGAUGUCUGUUUCCAGAGCUAGAAGCCAAACCUGGUUUUAAAAACUCCCAUAGCUCUAAGUCUUGAAUUUGCAUGUUUAUUGCCCUGAGUUAAUCUGGGAACCCAUCUGAAUUUUCUGCUAAUGAGUAAGAGGACUAUAUUUUGGCUGUUUGGGGGCAGCAAGGAGCAUUAACAUUUCUUACUUCUCUUGAACUUUCUGCCCUUCUGGAAAAGAAGUGAGAGACACUACUGAGGCGUGACCAUUCAAUCCCAGCAUAUGUUAGCUUCAAUUUGACCCCUGCUGGCUGAUCAAGAAUGGCAGAGAACUUCUGCCUCCACAAAUAACUAACUAUACAUUACAGAGUCAGAAAUAUGUUUGCAGUCAGGGACCGUUAUAUUUUAGAAAGAGAGUCAUGCAAGCAUUAACAGCGGUGCAUGCACUUUCAGUGCACACCCGUCUCUCAGGCUUCCUCUAUUCCCUUUCCCUCAAUUGCUCAAACAUCCCUUGACUAGAAUUCAUUUUUAGUUGGAAUGAGAAGAACUUGGAAAAAGUGAAGGACAGAUAGCAGGCCAGAGGCAGGAUGCCCAGAAACAGAGUCAAAAUAUUACAGGGUAUUUCAUCACUGGUGAGAACACUUUAUUAUUAAAGAAAGUAUAUGUAAAUACUGGAUUGAUUUUCUGACAGUACAGAACAGACCUGGCUUUGGCCUCAUUAAAAAAGAGAAAAAUAUCUUAAAUACGACUGUGGAACAAUUGAUGCUUGUUAUCUGACAGCACAAAAAGCAGUUAAAAGAAUGCCUGUGAAACUGAGCGUCAUCAUUAGGUACAAUGAUGAGAUAUAUAUGUUUAGACAAGCCUCUCACAAACCACUGGUUUUUGGAAAGUAUUUUCUGUCUAUCAGUGAUGCCAGAGUAAAGCAUUCUGCUCAUGCUUUCUUCUAUUUCAGUCCACAGGAAGUGUUUCCAUUUGAAGCAAGUUGGCAAUUGCAAGGAUGUAAAAGCUAUCUGAAAACCAGCGGGAAGCAGAACUAUGAAAAGAAGAAUAGGGCAAUGAUGAAGUGGCAAUGGACAGAGUUCCAGUGUAAAAGUCCAUUGAUUUUACAGUAACGAAGAUUGUUAAAGUCAUUCAAACACUGCAUUCAUAACCACGGUACUCAAGAGAGUUACAUUCAAUUCUGCAAGACACGGCUAAUGAAGACAGUGUAUUCUGGGAGUCAACACAAGUGCUCGUUUACUUUUCAAGGUUCAGAGUUGUGAACAGACAGAGACACCAGUAAAGGGUCACUAUCUGAAAACUGCCUACAGUUUUGGGUGAGUUUUGCUGAAGUUCAGUCCAUAAGGAAGAGCCAAAGUGCAAGUUCUGAACUGUAGGAGAAUUUGGCAGUACAACUGGGUCAGACCAAUUGAUAGCACAGCAGCUGUGUAAGAAGUCUCUUACUAUCAGCAUAUGAAUCAAGAAAGCCAUUUAAUCUACCAAGCACUUUAUAUAACAACUUGAAAGCCUUCAAAAAAAAUUGUAAAUCUUUCUUUUUCUUUAAAGACUGCCAAGCCUGCCUCUUUGCUGCUGAAGCAAAUGUAGGCUGAGCAGUUAAAGUUUGGGGUUUUUUUUUAUGAUAUCUGGAAAAGGAUCUGGAAAUAAAAAUGCAAUGUUUUCUUUGGGAUAGAUUUAAGUAUUUCAGGUAUAAAUUAAAGAAAUGAAAAUUUUUUACCAGACAUAAGACAAAGAUGGCUGGAAAGCCAUUUCAGGGACUCUGAAUGCUAGGUUUCAUUUUCUAGUUUCAUAGUUGACGUUCUAAGAGAAACACAAGCCUGUGUAAUGCUCAUAUCCAUGACAGUGUACAAACGAGCCCUAAUUUAUAUACAGAAAGCUGAACAGAAUGCAUACUAAGCCUUUCAUUAGCUUUUCUGUUCCUUUAUGGCCAUGAGAGUUCAGUUCUCUAAAGACAUACUGUCUAGUUUCUUAGGAGAUGGAGCUAAGGGAUAGGAUCCAUUUGUCUUAACACAGAUGGCUACACCCACUGGGUACAUGCGGAACAUCUACAAGCAGCUGACAGCUAGGACCUGGGCUUAGGGAGUUCUGCACCUCUGGUGUGGUAGCUGUAAGACACCACCACCUGAAGUUAUAUUAUAUACAUAUGUUUAAAACAUUGACACCCUGCCCCUUGACACCCUGCCCCUUGACCAACAUUGACAUGUAGGCAGGAUGCUGCCCACAUCAUCCAAAACGAGGUGUAGGGCACGCUACUGCCAGGUAAGGUAUGAUUCUCUCACAUCACACUACUACUGGUGGAGCCAGGGUGGCACAACUCUUACCUGCAUUCAAAAGGCAUUUGUGCAAUUGGCUGUGGCUGCCAGAUGACCUGGACCUUAAGUGUCCCUGACAGUCCAGGCAUCACUUACGAUCCUGUAUUUGCUAUCAGUGAUCAGGUGAGUCACCCUGUGGGUGCAUUGUUGCUCAUCUUACUACCUUAAUAAAGUUUGACUUAUAAUGUGUUGUCAGACUACAUUACCAUUCAAACCACAUCACCCUGCCUAUGGUAUUGCUCGUGAACCCACACACAACCUCAAUAUGAUGAAUGUUCCUCUGGUAUGACCAAACAAGAAGCUAAGGCUCGAUCCUACUGUGCAACAGUCAAGAGGGGUUGAGAAUUUUCAUGUAAGAGGAAUUUGAGUACAACCAACCUCUCUCACUGUCUAAAGACUGCAGGAAUUCUGACCAGCUCUGCAGGGUCAAGCACCCACGCUACAAUCCUCAGAACAGGAUCUUUACAUCCUUCAGCCUGCUACCUUAACUUUACUCCCUACUAUUUAAUGUUACAGGGAGAUUUUUUUUAAAAAAGCUUUUCAUAUGCACCUUUACAAAAUCUUAGCUGGCUAUUGCCCCAUUCAUGGGCUGUGCCAUUCAUUGAUUUAUAAUGAGAAAACAGGAAUUACCCUUUGAAUUACUUCCGACAGAACACUCCUUCCUCUGACUACAAAAGAAAUUUAAGAAAACUAACCAGUAAAUUAAUUCUUAAAAAUCAGCCAAAUCUGGAACCAUACCGGCCUAGAAAUUUUCCCACCAUAAAUAUCAUAAGACCCCAGAACUAUUAACUUCCUGGAGUUUACUUUAGAUGUAACAGUAAGUUACUUGACCAAAACCUUUCGUCUGGUUCAGAAACACACACAGUGUCUUUUUGUCCCUGCUUUCUAAAUUCAUGUAUGCCCCCAUGCCUCAAGCCACAUUUAGCAAUAGCAUAUAGUCAGGUUUGAAGCCUCUGUGAGUUUCCAGCCAAUCUGAAGCAGAAAGUGCUCCAAAAUUCAUGGGAUAUUAAUCUCGUAAGAUGACAUUGCAAUAUUAAAGUUUCUUAGCUUUUUUUUUCCUAGGCUCCUGAGAACUGAAGUGUUACAGUAUGAACUUACAGAGUACUAAAACGUCACAGCUGUAACUGGAUUUUAUUAAGAAGUUUUAUAUUUGCAAAAUGAGCAAUUCUUGUAAGUGCCAUAUUUUCAUGUGACUAACCUACAGGUUAUCUGUCAAAAAAAAUUUAAUUCGGCAGUAUUGAAGGUUAUACAUAUGGAUGGGUAAUACAAGGCAAAUUUUAUUGAACAGAGCAUUUUCCCUAACAUAAAGCAGAGUUCAUUCCUCUCUCCUUCCCUGGCACAGAGCAGAGUCCCUUGCCCCUCUGCAGCACAAGUGAAGCUAAUGGCAAUGGACACGUUUUCACUCAGUGUGGGUAUUUGAGAAUAUGGUUCAUCAGUGCUCUUUUCAAGGACCACUACUUGUAAAGGGGCUGAGGCUACAUGAUGGAUGGAUUCUGUGUGUGAAAAUAUGGUUUAGCCUUAACACUUUAUUUCUCAUAUAUUUCCUGAAAAAUACUCUACUCUUUAGUGAAUCACUCCCUGAGUUUCAGAAGAUCUACCCUGUUUCAUUGUCAGAAAUGGUCUGUAUCAAUUCAAUUCAGUUUAGACAGUUCCUUUCCCAAGAUGAUUACAAUCUAAAAUGCGGGCACAUGAAAUGCAGGGCAAAGUGGGUGAAAGUGAUCAGGAUAGCAUACUUUGUUGCUAAUAUUUACAUUAGAAUCUAGACAAAUAUUCAGCUCGUCUGGGUGUGUGAAUCAUAUAAAUGUCCUCACGUUUAGCAUUUCAGUAUCUGAGUAAGCCUUUCAGAUGAGCUAAACAUCAUCAGUUCUUUGAUCCAUCAACUGAGCAGGCAUUUUAAAAUGUAUUUUAAACCAUAGUUUUUCUCCCUGCAUUCUCCCUCAUAUUCUACUUAUGUAAAGUUGUAGUAUAUUUAUGCAAACUCAGUUUUGUUGCAUGAAAUAUAGUGAUUCUGAGUUUCCUCUUGGCAUUCUGGAGUGCAAAUUUUCUUUGAAUUAAUUAUUUUAAUUCAGUCACUAUAAUCAAAUUCAACUGACUAUCAUAAUUUAUUUUAAGGAUUAUUCUAGUUAAUGUAUUCCUUACCACAGCAAGUAACCCUGGUGGAUAGGUCUUAAAAGUUUCAAAUGUCAGAAGACUUUUAAAUGUUCUAAUAUGCUACUUUGAAAGUUUGACAACAAUCCACAAAUUCCCUCUGCUCUUAUUCAGUCUUCUAAAUGCCAGAGAGGGAUUUUUUUUUAAGAUUCUCCAAAUGUUUUGCCACAGAAUUGCCUAAUUAACUUUCAGACUUGUUGCUCAGAUACUUUCCCACCAGAAAACACUUUAUUUAAAUAAAAUGAACAUAUAUGUUAUGUUUGUCCUUCAGUUCUACUUCAAAAUGUCUACUGAGAUUUCUCUUUAAAGGGAAAUAUUAUUGGAGAAGGAUUCUCUAAUGAAUUACUUCAGAAACAAUAAAAAAAACCCCAACAACAUUAUAUUGCAACCUUUGUUUUAAUUAUACUUAACAUGACUAAUUUUCAAAUAAGCUGUUUUGGGCAAAGUAAGUGACUGUCAAUAGCUAGGAAGAGAAUAUUACUAUAUUUAGCAGGACAGAACACUUUGGGAAAAUAAUUGUCAGAUAACAAUUGUUAACAGGUAAAAUUAGAAAUCAUAUUUUAGUCUAACCGUAUGGUACUAAACCUCCUUAACAAAUCCACAUCCAAACAAAAGUAAUUCAAAUCUGUAUUUGAAUCUCUGCACCUUUAGGAACAGUUGAGCUUGCCAUUUAGAAAAACUAUUCCACAUAUUGGCAAAUUCUCAUAUGUGGAAGCACUAAAGAGGAGAGAUUUACUGCAGCUUCUGUGACUCUAGAGCUACUUUUCCAAUGUCUACCCUUUGAAGACUCAAGAUUCUUCUAAAUUGUACAGUUUAGAAGAGUCACAUCAGCCAAUUGAAUGAAAGCCCAGGUGAAUAAUUUUAGGGAAAUGAGCUCCAAAAUGUGUCAUUUAUAGAAAGGACAUCAGAUAAGAUUGGAGAAUCUUAUGAACAAAUCCUUGCCUGUACAUAUUGAGGGCAACCUUAACCCUUAACUCUCUUUGCCCUACAAAGCAUAAGAGGGAAGAUUAGGGACCAAGAUCUUUCCAACAGUUCCUUGCAGUAUCAGACACAGAAAUGACUGCAAGACAGCAUGCGGGACAGAGUCUGGAUGGAGGCUGGAUUGGAAAAACUGAGGAAAGACUAAGACGAUGUGCUGGGAGAAGUGAGCACAAGCUGGACAGCCCGUAAGAGUUUAGUCUAUCACCUUUAGGAUUUGUAUUUUUCUUCAAAUAUGUUCACGGACCUGGAAUUCCUACAACCCAGCAGUGCCUACUGUCAGUAAACACUUCUGAAACUAUUCCACUGCCCCCUUCUGCUGCCUGCUCUCCAUGGAAGGUUUAUCCCUGUCUCUACACAGUUUAUCCCUGUCAUUGAACUGGGUAAGGAAUCAUUAUGAUGCCAAAUACGU